GUUAUGGUGGGCACUCUAAGGAGACUGCCGGUGACAAACCGGAGGAAGGUGGGGAUGACGUCAAGUCAUCAUGGCCCUUACGGCCUGGGCUACACACGUGCUACAAUGGUCGGUACAAAGGGUUGGCCAAGCCGCGAGGUGGAGCUAAUCCCAUAAAACCGAUCGUAGUCCGGAUCGCAGUCUGCAACUCGACUGCGUGAAGUCGGAAUCGCUAGUAAUCGUGAAUCAGAAUGUCACGGUGAAUACGUUCCCGGGCCUU
rnacentral:rRNA from 1 species